rnacentral:rRNA from 1 species
UACGGAGGAUCCAAGCGUUAUCCGGAUUUAUUGGGUUUAAAGGGUGCGUAGGCGGCCUAUUAAGUCAGGGGCUGAAAGACGGUAGCUUAACUAUCGCAGUGCCUUUGAUACUGAUGGGCUUGAAUGUACUUGAGGUAGGCGGAAUGUGACAAGUAGCGGUGAAAUGCAUAGAUAUGUCACAGAACACCAAUUGCGAAGGCAGCUUACUAAAGUAUGAUUGACGCUGAGGCACGAAAGCGUGGGGAUCAAACAGG